GUUCAUAAUUUGGAAUAUAAAACAACGACUUCUCAAUUCCUUGGAAUGUUUACAUGUCUCUGUAUCUCCGCAACCUUGGCUGGAAAUUCCAGACUCCAAAAAUAGUUAUGCUGUUAUAAUUCCUGAUUUUCAAUCAACAGCUAGCCUAACUGACAAUAUGGAAAAUAUCACUGUUUUCUAAAACCUUUCUUAUAUAGUGGACAUUAG